rnacentral:rRNA from 1 species
GAUGAACGCUAGCGGCAGGCUUAACACAUGCAAGUCGAGGGGUAUCACGCUUUCGGGCGUGAGAGACCGGCGCACGGGUGCGUAACGCGUAUGCAAUCUACCUUUUGCAGAGGGAUAGCCCAGAGAAAUUUGGAUUAAUACCUCAUAGUAUAGAACAAUCGCAUGAUUGAACUAUUAAAGUCACAACGGCAAAAGAUGAGCAUGCGUCCCAUUAGUUAGUUGGUAAGGUAACGGCUUACCAAGACUACGAUGGGUAGGGGUCCUGAGAGGGAGAUCCCCCACACUGGUACUGUGACACGGACCAGACUCCUACGGGAGGCAGCAGUGAGGAAUAUUGGACAAUGGGCGCAAGCCUGAACCAGCCAUGCCGCGUGAAGGAUGACGGCCCUAUGGGUUGUAAACUCUUUUGUACGGGAAAAAACCACCGGUCCGUGUAUCGGUGCUG